UGAGGCGAGUUGAAGACUAAA
rnacentral:miRNA from 11 species